CACGUAGGGCGCAAGCGUUGUCCGGAAUUAUUGGGCGUAAAGGGUGCGUAGGCGGCGCGGUAAGUCGGGUGUGAAAUCGUCGGGCUUAACCUCCGAAACUGCAUUCGAUACUGCCGUGCUUGAGGACUGGAGGAGGAGACUGGAAUUUACGGUGUAGCGGGUGAAAUGCGUAGAUAUCGUAAGGAAGACCAGUGGCGAAGGCGGGUCUCUGGGACAGUUCCUGACGCUGAGGCACGAAGGCCAGGGGAGCAAACGGG
rnacentral:rRNA from 1 species